ensembl:ncRNA lncRNA:CR45757 long non-coding RNA:CR45757
AGUGUAAUCUGUUCAUGACGAACUGCGUAAAUGUUCCGAUCAUUUAACUGAUCAAACAUACUUUACAAACAAUUCAAUGUUUGUAGUCAACUCGAGUAGCCCACCUUUGCCUCGGUUGUAGCCCGCAGAUAUCGCAGAUACUGGAGUAGAAACUUUGAAGUGCCAUGUCGGACAACAAAUAAACAACCCAAACAACACUGUGUUUAACCAUAGCAGGGGUGAAGAACACAUGCACCGAGUUCUUUGUCGGAAUUAGAAGUACAAAUAAAGCCGAACCCACAAUGAGUUAUAAUAAAUGGGAACAAUAGUGACCCUAAAAUUUUAUG